rnacentral:sRNA from 1 species
GUAGACUCUUUGCUCUGUAGAGCUCCCCAUAUUCUGGAUCUGUUUGCAUCCUCUAGGUAUUCCCUUCAAGAGAAUUGCAGCUGAGUCUGAUUGUACCUCUAGAGCUGAACAUUAUGGGAGUACUUGUUAUCUUUUAAACUUUCUCAUAGUUGCCACUUAGAGUCUUAGUGAAUUUUGAACAGAGCCUUGGCUGGUAUGUGGCAUUACAGUUAGCAGGAAUAAGCAGAAGUGAAGUGACCUUGGAAAGCUCCACUUGGCCCGUAAGCGCUAACACUGUCAGGAGACUCUACUUUUGUUUCUUGGCUAUUAGAUGGGACCUGUCAUGGGAAUGUUGAGGUUGUGGAAAUGUAUCUUGCUUUUUCACACCACCUUUCUCUUUCUUUCAGGAUUUUCUUACUGGAGUGCAAUGUGAGAGAAGUACGAGUUGCUGUGGCCACCAUUCUGGAGAAAACCCUAGACAGUGCCUUGUUUUAUCAGGAUAAGUUAAAAAGCCUUCAUCAGUUACUGGAGGUACUACUUGCUCUGUUGGACAAAGACGUCCCAGAAAAUUGUAAAAACUGUGCUCAGUACUUUUUCCUGUUCAACACUUUUGUACAAAAGCAAGGAAUUAGGGCUGGAGAUCUUCUUCUGAGGCAUUCAGCUCUGCGGCACAUGAUCAGCUUCCUCCUAGGGGCCAGUCGGCAAAACAAUCAGAUACGUCGAUGGAGUUCAGCACAAGCACGAGAAUUUGG